GAGGUUGUGGCUCAGUGGUAGAACACUCACCUCCCACGUGCGAGACCCUGGGUUCGACCCUCAGCACCACA
rnacentral:tRNA from 1 species